rnacentral:rRNA from 1 species
CCUACGGGGGGCAGCAGUGGGGAAUAUUGGACAAUGGGCGGAAGCCUGAUCCAGCAAUACCGCGUGUGUGAAGAAGGCCUGAGGGUUGUAAAGCACUUUCAAUAGGAAGGAAUACCUAUCCAUUAAUACUGGGUAGACUGACAUUACCUAUACAAGAGGCACCGGCUAACUCCGUGCCAGCAGCCGCGGUAAUACGGAGGGUGCAAUCGUUAAUCGGAAUUACGGGUCGGAGAGCGUUCGUGUCCGGCUCGAAAGCCCCGGGCUUAACCUGGGAAUGGCAUGUGAUACUGGCGAGCUAGAGUUGAGUAGAGGGGAGUGGAAUUUCAGGUGUAGCGGUGAAAUGCGUAGAGAUCUGAAGGAACACCAGUGGCGAAGGCGACUCCCUGGACUCAAACUGACGCUGAGGUACGAAAGCGUGGGUAGCAAACAGGAUUAGAUACCCCUGUAGUC